GUGGGGAAUAUUGGACAAUGGGGGCAACCCUGAUCCAGCCAUGCCGCGUGUGUGAAGAAGGCCUUCGGGUUGUAAAGCACUUUAAGUGGGGAGGAAGGUUCGCAGGCUAAUAACCUGCGGAAUUGACGUUACCCACAGAAUAAGCACCGGCAAACUCCGUGCCAGCAGCCGCGGUAAUACGGAGGGUGCGAGCGUUAAUCGGAAUUACUGGGCGUAAAGCGCACGUAGGCGGCUUGUUAAGUCGGAUGUGAAAUCCCCGGGCUCAACCUGGGAGCUGCAUCCGAUACUGGCAAGCUCGAAUACGGUAGAGGGGGGUGGAAUUCCAGGUGUAGCGGUGAAAUGCGUAGAGAUCUGGAGGAACACCAGUGGCGAAGGCGGCCCCCUGGACCGAUAUUGACGCUGAGGUGCGAAAGCGUGGGGAGCAAACAGGAUUAGAUACCCCAGUAGUCC
rnacentral:rRNA from 1 species